CCUCAUAUGCUCGAACAAAAGAAGCUAGUGAAGCGAAAUACAUAUCAAUAUUAAACAUCAUUCAAGGAGAAGUUGACCCUACUCAGGUUCAUGAAAGUUUGCAGAGGAUACGUGAAAGAAAGCUUGUUAACUUUAUUGAGUGGGGCCCUGCAAGCAUUCAGGUUGCUUUGUCUAGAAAGUCUCCAUAUGUGCAAACGGCCCAUAG